CUCUCUCUCUGUCUGCAACUUUGAUAGCCUUUGAAUUGCUUGCGGGAAAAUUCCCGUUCGUCCCUUUUCUCUUCUUUUGGACCCAACUGUAAAAGUAAAAGCCAAACAAACACCCACUUGAAGCAACCACUCCAUCUCACUCCAGCACGUCGUUCAAAAAAAUUCCCUUUCUCUUUCACUCUUUUGUCUCCAGCCUCUGAACCUCUAACUUCUUCCUUUACAGUUUCAGUAGAUUCUGAUUCUUCCGUUCCUCAAAGCAUUUUUCAAUUUUGUUUCUUCUUUAACCAAAUCUACUGGGUUUGAUUUCAUUUUAGCUUGUUGAAGUUAUGGUUGACAAAUAGUGAAGAAGGUGGCGGUUAUGGGUGGUGAUGGUAAAGUUGAGGUGGUGAGUAGCAAAGGCUGUUCGAGGCUCUUCCUUGGCCUCUCUUCUCCAUUGUCUUCUUUCAGAGGUCUACAACCGUUUGACCCAAUGUCUCCUGCCUCGUCCUCUGCUCGCUCUGAUCCCGUGGCCGUCCGAUCAAGCGGUCCCUUUGCCGGCCUCGUUAUCUGUGUCACCGGUCUGUCCAAAGAAGCAAGGAAACAAGUAAUGGAAGCAACAGAGAGAUUAGGCGGCCAAUACAGCCCCAAUUUGCAUCCUCAGUGUACCCAUUUGGUGGUCCAAAGCUUUGGUGGACGUAAAUUUGAGCAUGCUUUGAAGCAUGGAUCAAAAAAUAGUCUCUUCAUAGUUGCGCUUGGGUGGUUUGUGGAUAGUGUCAGGAGGAAUGUGAGGUUGAGUGAGUCACUCUACAGUGUUCAAAGUUUUGGAGAAAAUGGUAUGCGCUUGGAUGAGUUGAAUUGGCGUGCUGGGUUUUCUGGUAUCGAAACUUCUUGUCUUCCUGUUGGUACUAAUGGAGCCAAGCGAUUUGACAUGAUUGAAAAUCCACAUCUUUGGUUUUCUGGAAGGGAGUUUAAUAAAAGUACGGAGUCAGCUCUUUCUGGUAACUCCGUUUAUAUUGAUCCAGACAUUUCAGCUGAACUGCGUAAUAAGGUUGUUGAGGCUGCUGCUAGAGAAGGUGCCAAACUUGUAGAAAAAUGGUUUGUUGGUUGCAGUGCCAGUCAUGUGGUUUGUGAAGGGACUUCUGUUCGAACAUAUCUUGGUCACUCUAGCAACCUUGUCACACCACUGUGGGUUCUGAAAACAGCAAAGGAGAAAUAUGUGCAACGGCUUGUUCACAUGUCCACUGACUUGGCUAGGCAGAUUGGUAUGAUGCUUGAAGAUUCUCAAAAUGGCAUCUCAGGGAAGAAAACAAAUGAGCAAAAUGUCCCUGAAGAUGAUCAGAGUUAUAGAAAUAAAGCGAGCCUCAAUGAAAGGCAACAGGUUGUGAGUUCUGCUAAAAUUGCGGUCAGAAAUCGUCGUGGUCGUCGUAUGCAGACUUCUCAAACCCCAAUUCGGCCAAUAACUCCAAGUUGCCUUUUGGAUUCCAUCUGCUGGUCGAUAUCUGAACCAACUUCCACUGCUUCUAUUUACACGGACUCUUUUAGCGUUGAUGGUGCUAGUGAACAACACUCCCCUGUAUUCCUAGAUGCCAAAGGCGAUGGCAAGGAUUUGGAAGCUUCAUUUGCAAACUUAACCCGGCCACUUACAGAAAGUGAGAAAUCUGAAUUGAUAUAUAAAAACCAUUUUCUUACCAUACUGUUUCCCGUUGAUCGAUUUGCUGAGAUGGGGCCUUCUUCAAGAACAUUUUUCAGCGAUAACGGCUUUACAUGUUUGCAGGUGUUAGAUCACAUCUAUGCAUUUUAUCAGGAGUACAUGUCAGUUCACGAAAUAGAAGCUGCAAUUCACACUGAUUCAAGACAUGCGGACCGGCUUCGAUUGGUGUACUGUAGUAGAGAAACGACGGAAUGCGGUUAUGUAGUUUUUAAACGGAUUGAUUUCUUAGGGAGUCGCAGAAGUUUCGAAAUGUUGAAGCGUGUCAGCGGUGACAACAACAGUAACGUCUACGAGCUGUUGAUCAGGGCAUGAUGUCUUGUUAUCAGCGGUGGAUCCCUUCAAUAUACAAGUUUCAAGUUAGUGUUAAGUUCAAUUGCCUAGCUGAACUAUUAGUUACAGAUCCUCAGCUUGAAGACAUGCAUUCAGCCUUCACUUGAUUCUUUAAGAUCUCAAGAAGAACGGACAAACAAUGAUCUCAAAAAUCACACAGCAAAAGUAGGAACAAAGAGAGGAGAAAGAAGCUAAAAGAAGAGAGAAGAAACUAUAAAGAAAGAAGCGGGGAAAGAGAGAGAAGGGGGAGGAGAGAAGAAUCAAUUUGUGAGGAUAAAAAGAUGGUUCCUAGCAUUAUAACAUUAUAUGACGUGCCAGCGCCAGAUGCGGGUCUUAGUUGCAAACGCAAGCAUGUGCAAAAUCCAGGCAAGAACUUGUCUUAAGAAGAGUUGAUGCUCUACAUUUCAAAACAUUAGGUAGACUUCCAUAUUGCCCAUAUAAGAUAACUAGUUCUUGUAUGUGGCACGAAGACUUAUGGAAUUUACUGUUGGCCUCAGGGUCUAGGAUAUGAUGCCAU